GAUGAACGCUGGCGGCGUGCCUAAUACAUGCAAGUCGAGCGAACGGACGAGAAGCUUGCUUCUCUGAUGUUAGCGGCGGACGGGUGAGUAACACGUGGAUAACCUACCUAUAAGACUGGGAUAACUUCGGGAAACCGGAGCUAAUACCGGAUAAUAUUUUGAACCGCAUGGUUCAAAAGUGAAAGACGGUCUUGCUGUCACUUAUAGAUGGAUCCGCGCUGCAUUAGCUAGUUGGUAAGGUAACGGCUUACCAAGGCAACGAUGCAUAGCCGACCUGAGAGGGUGAUCGGCCACACUGGAACUGAGACACGGUCCCGACUCCUACGGGAGGCAGCCGUAGGGAAUCCUCCGCAAUGGGCGAAAGCCUGACGGAGCAACGCCGCGUGAGUUAUGAAGGUCUUCGGAUCGUAAAACUCUGUUAUUAGGGAAGAACAUAUGUGUAAGUAACUGUGCACAUCUUGACGGUACCUAAUCAGAAAGCCACGGCUAACUACGUG
rnacentral:rRNA from 1 species